rnacentral:tRNA from 1 species
GCCCAGGUGUUGAAAUUGGUAGACAAGCAGCCUUGAGGUGGCUGUGCCGAGAGGCGUGGAGGUUCAAGUCCUCUCCUGGGCACCA